UGCCAGCCGCCGCGGUAACACGUAGGGAGCAAGCGUUGUCCGGAUUUAUUGGGCGUAAAGAGCUCGUAGGCUGUUCCGUAAGUCAGGUGUGAAAGUCUAAGGCUCAACCUUGGAACGCCACUUGAUACUGCGGUGACUAGAGUCCGGUAGAGGAGUGCGGAAUUUCUGGUGUAUCGGUGAAAUGCGUAGGUAUUAGAAAGAACACCAGUGGCGAGAGCGCUCUACUGGACCAUUACUGACACUCAGAGGCGAAAGCUAGGGUAGCAAAAGGGAUUAGAUA
rnacentral:rRNA from 1 species